AAUCCAUAGGUUAAUGAGGCGAACCGGGGGAACUGAAACAUCUAAGUACCCCGAGGAAAAGAAAUCAACCGAGAUUCCCCCAGUAGCGGCGAGCGAACGGGGAGGAGCCCAGAGCCUGAAUCAGCAUGUGUGUUAGUGGAAGCGUCUGGAAAGGCGCGCGAUACAGGGUGACAGCCCCGUACACAAAAGCGCAUGUGCUGUGAGCUCGAUGAGUAGGGCGGGACACGUGGUAUCCUGUCUGAAUAUGGGGGGACCAUCCUCCAAGGCUAAAUACUCCUGACUGACCGAUAGUGAACCAGUACCGUGAGGGAAAGGCGAAAAGAACCCCGGCGAGGGGAGUGAAAAAGAACCUGAAACCGUGUACGUACAAGCAGUGGGAGCCCCACCACCAA
rnacentral:rRNA from 2 species